GACGAGUGGCGGACGGGUGAGUAAUGUCUGGGAAACUGCCUGAUGGAGGGGGAUAACUACUGGAAACGGUGGCUAAUACCGCAUAACGUCGCAAGACCAAAGAGGGGGACCUUCGGGCCUCUUGCCAUCAGAUGUGCCCAGAUGGGAUUAGCUUGUUGGUGAGGUAACGGCUCACCAAGGCGACGAUCCCUAGCUGGUCUGAGAGGAUGACCAGCCACACUGGAACUGAGACACGGUCCAGACUCCUACGGGAGGCAGCAGUGGGGAAUAUUGCACAAUGGGCGCAAGCCUGAUGCAGCCAUGCCGCGUGUAUGAAGAAGGCCUUCGGGUUGUAAAGUACUUUCAGCGGGGAGGAAGGUGUUGUGGUUAAUAACCGCAGCAAUUGACGUUACCCGCAGAAGAAGCACCGGCUAACUCCGUGCCAGCAGCCGCGGUAAUACGGAGGGUGCAAGCGUUAAUCGGAAUUACUGGGCGUAAAGCGCACGCAGGCGGUCUGUCAAGUCGGA
rnacentral:rRNA from 1 species